GAUGAACGCUGGCGGCGUGCCUAAUACAUGCAAGUCGAGCGAACGGACGAGGAGCUUGCUUCUCUGAUGUUAGCGGCGGACGGGUGAGUAACACGUGGAUAACCUACCUAUAAGACUGGGAUAACUUCGGGAAACCGGAGAUAAUACCGGAUAAUAUUUUGAACCGCAUGGUUCAAAAGUGAAAGACGGUUUUGCUGUCACUUAUAGAUGGAUCCGCGCUGCAUUAGCUAGUUGGUAAGGUAACGGCUUACCAAGGCAACGAUGCAUAGCCGACCUGAGAGGGUGAUCGGCCACACUGGAACUGAGACACGGUCCAGACUCCUACGGGAGGCAGCAGUAGGGAAUCUUCCGCAAUGGGCGAAAGCCUGACGGAGCAACGCCGCGUGAGUGAUGAAGGUCUUCGGAUCGUAAAACUCUGUUAUUGGGGAAGAACAUAUGUGUAAGUAACUGUGCACAUCUUGACGGUACCUAAUCAGAAAGCCACGGCUAACUACGUG
rnacentral:rRNA from 1 species